GGCGAACCUAGGGAACUGAAACAUCUAAGUACCUAGAGGAAAAGAUAUUCCGUUAGUAGUGGCGAGCGAACGCGGACCAGGCCAGUGCUACUUUUUACUAAACCAGAACUGUAUGGAAAGGCAGGCCAUAGUGAGUGAUAGCCUCGUAUGGGUAGAUAGUAAAAAAUAGACAUGAGUAGGGCGGGACACGUGAAAUCCUGUCUGAAUAUAGGAAGACCACUUCCUAAGCCUAAAUACUACUUUAUGACCGAUAGUGAACCAGUACCGUGAGGGAAAGGCGAAAAGAACCCCUAGCAGGGGAGUGAAAUAGAUCCUGAAACCGGAUGCUUACAAGCAGUUGGAGCCUCUUUGUGAGGUGACAGCGUACCUUUUGUAUAAUGGGUCAGCGACUUAAUCUCAUUAGCAAGCUUAAGCCAUUUAGGUGUAGGCGAAGCGAAAGCGAGUCUGAAUAGGGCGAUUUAGUUAAUGGGAUUAGACUCGAAACCGGGUGAUCUAGUCAUGAGCAGGUUGAAAGUGAAGUAAAAUUCACCGGAGGACCGAACCCACUAGCGUUGAAAAGCUACGGGAUGACUUGUGAUUAGGGGUGAAAGGCCAACCAAACUCGGAAAUAGCUAGUUCUCCGCGAA
rnacentral:rRNA from 1 species